rnacentral:rRNA from 1 species
AUUGAACGCUGGCGGAAUGCUUUACACAUGCAAGUCGAACGGCAGCAUAGGUGCUUGCACCUGAUGGCGAGUGGCGAACGGGUGAGUAAUACAUCGGAACGUGCCCAGUCGUGGGGGAUAACGUAGCGAAAGUUACGCUAAUACCGCAUACGAUCUACGGAUGAAAGCGGGGGACCGUAAGGCCUCGCGCGAUUGGAGCGGCCGAUGUUAGAUUAGGUAGUUGGUGGGGUAAAGGCUCACCAAGCCGACGAUCUAUAGCUGGUCUGAGAGGAUGAUCAGCCACACUGGGACUGAGACACGGCCCAGACUCCUACGGGAGGCAGCAGUGGGGAAUUUUGGACAAUGGGCGCAAGCCUGAUCCAGCCAUUCCGCGUGCAGGACGAAGGCCUUCGGGUUGUAAACUGCUUUUGUACAGAACGAAACACCGGCUCUAACACAGUCCGGGAAUGACGGUACCUGAAGAAUAAGCACCGGCUAACUACGUGCCAGCCGCCGCCGUAA